GUAGAAGUAGCGAAAUUGGAUUAUACGCACUAGAGUUAGGAUCUAAUGAACGCUGAGAGUUCGAGUCUCUCCUUCUAUA
rnacentral:tRNA from 1 species